rnacentral:rRNA from 1 species
AUUGAACGCUGGCGGCAGGCCUAACACAUGCAAGUCGAGCGAGCGGCGGACGGGUGAGUAAUGUCUGGGGAUCUGCCUGAUGGCGGGGGAUAACUACUGGAAACGGUAGCUAAUACCGCAUACCAUCAGAUGAACCCAGAUGGGAUUAGCUUGUAGGUGGGGUAACGGCGCACCUAGGCGACGAUCCCUAGCUGGUCUUAGAGGAUGAUCGUCCACACUGGGACGUAGACACGGCCCAGACUCCUACGGGAGGCAGCAGUGGGGAAUAUUGCACAAUGGGCGCAAGCCUGAUGCAGCCAUGCCGCGUGUAUGAAGAAGGCCUUCGGGUUGUAAAGUACUUUCAGUCGGGAGGCGUUACCGACAGAAGAAGCACCGGCUAACUCCGUGCCAGCAGCCGCGGUAAUAC